AAUUUUUAUGGAGAGUUUGAUCCUGGCUCAGGAUGAACGCUGGCGGCGUGCCUAAUACAU
rnacentral:rRNA from 1 species